ensembl:lncRNA
UCUGGAAAGAAUAGGUUUCUCCCCAGGAGAUGCUAAAGCAUCUAUCAUUUAUAAGAGAUAGAUUAUAGCCUGUGAAUGGAAUAACAGGAAUUCUCAAUUCUUGCUUUAAUUUUGCCACCAGCUGCUAUGAUUUAUCUGAAAAAUUAAUCAACCUAUAAGAAAAAUAUCCUGAUAUGGCUGUGUCCUUUGACCUUUUAAAUAACGUUAACUCUACAGAUUAAAGAUAAAGUAUACAAUUAACACUCAAGCAUUUUCAAAGUGCUCAACUCUUGGGGUAUUUGUCUUUGAGCUUUAUACAAAGAUGCCUCAGACCCCUGAAAACAUUGAGCUGUUUAAAAAUUUUAAGUUGGAGUUCCCCUUAUGGCAGUGGAAAUGAAUUUGACUAGGGUGCAUGAGGAUGCGGGUUCGAUCCCUGGCCCCACUCAGUGGGUCAGGGAUCUGGUGUUGCCAUGAGCUGUGGUGUAGGUCGCAGACAUGCUCAGAUGUGGUAUUGCUGUGGCUGUGGUGUAGGCCAGCAGCUGUAGCUCCAUUUCGACCCCUAGCCUGGGAACCUCCAUAUGCCACUGGUACAACCCUAAAAAGCAAAAAAAAAAAAAAUUAUGUUAAAGGUAAGUGUCCCUGGGUAAAUAGUAAGGGGGGAGAAACUUGGCUUCUCACUAAUGGACGAAAUUUUGACUUUGGUUCUAAUGCCAGUGAGCUGGGUCAGAAACACAAAUGUUUGCUCAUUUAAUUUGGGCUAAUAAUCUAGUCCUUCAGUCUUUUUAAAAAUAGAAGGUUAAAAAAUACUUAGACUUUUUUUAGGUAACAUAAAGGUGCUUCAGGCACUCCUGUCUGUAGACCUUGAUUUAGUUUUGGGAGGUAAUAGACUCCUUCCAGAAUUUGAUGACAAUUCUAGACUUUUUCUCUGAAGAAAUUUCACUCCCAGAGAGAUUUGCCUAUAAUUGCAGGUUGUGUAUGGACCCUCCAAAUUUCACCAAGGCCCCUGUAGGAUCUGUCCGUAGGGUCCCAGUUGAAGAAACCUGACCCUUGCCUUCAAAGUAGGGCCUAUGCUUAAUUUUUUGUGCUAUAAAUAUUUAGCCCUUUAAUCCCUGACAUCAACAUAGCACCUGAGGCAUAUUUGACUUUCUUGCUGAGUUUAUUUAAAUGGAAAUAUUUUAUUUAGUUCUUUUGUAAUGAAAUAUGUGUUUAAGAUAUUGACAGUUAUUAAAGGAAUAUUUAUUAUCUUAUUUAACUGUAUAAAACUUUAUUACAGGGGAGUUCCCAUUGUAGUGCAGUGGAAAGGAAACCGACUAGGAACCAUGAGGUUGCAGGUUCAAUCCCUGGCCUCCCUCAGUGGGUUAAGGAGCCGGUGUUGCUGUGAGUUGUUGUGUAGGUUGCAGACGCUGCUUGGAUCUGGCGUUGCUCUGGCCGUGGUGUAGGCCAGCAGCUACAGCUCAAAUUGAACCCCUAGCCUGGGAACCUCCAUAUGCCUCAGGUCCAGCCCUGAAAAGCAAAAUAAAUAAAUAAAUAAAACUUUAUUAGAGUAAAAAGCAGAUAAGCAUUUAGCACUUAAGCACUUUUAAAUGUUAUGAAUGCUGUUGCCCUUAUAUAACCUAUUCAUGAUAUUUUCUCCUGCCGUGCCUUCCUUGGUUUCUCUUUAAUAUCUCAAUAAUUCAUCCAUUUCAUGGACAGGAGCAAUUCAUCCCAGGGUUCACAUGCUUUUGGAAAAAUUAAAAAAAAACUGACUUUCACUCCAUUUCAGCAACAGUUGAUAGCUAAAAAGUUUAAAUAAUAAUGGGUAUGUUUCAUGUAAUGAUUAAACUUUUAAAAAAUGUUUGAAGGAGUUCCCCUUGUGGCUCAGUGAGUUAAGAACCCAAUGUUGUCUCUAUUAGGAUGCAGGUUUGAUCCCUAGCCUCGCUCUAGUGGGUUAGGGUUAGGGGUAGGGUGAGUGUUGCUGCAAGCUGUGGCAUAGGUUACAGAUGUGACUUGGAUCUGGUGUUGCUGUGGCUGUGGCACAGGCCGGCAGCUGCAGCUCCAAUUCAACCCUUAGCCUGUGAAUUUCCAUAUGCUGCAGGUGUGGCCCUAAAAAGAAAAAAAAAAAAAAA